AUGCCGAAAUCUGAGACUUCACCUUGUGAACAGCCUCAGGCUCGCAGGCCCCGCUCCGGGGCCAACCUCAGCAGCGUCAGCCGAGGUGCAACAGCUCAAGAGGCCACUCAGAGCCCCAAGUGCUCAGACAAUCCCGGGGCAGUUAAACCAGCCGCUCACCCUGCGCGGGGCCGGGCCGGACAAAGGCCGCGGCCCCCUCCCUGCGCCGGCCGAGGCCACGGGCGGGCCACGGCCCUUUCCAACAGGUACCGCAGGGCCGGGAGGCGGCGGCGGCGGCCGCGCUCCCGCAGGCCGCGGGGCCGAGGCGGCCAUGUUGUGGUCCUGCGGCCUGCGGGAACUUUCGGGGAAGUUUCUGGGGCGGCCCGCGGGGGGCAGGGGCCCGGGGACGGCGGGCGGCGCGGGGCCCCGCGGCGGGCGGGCGGAGGCGGCGGCGCCGGGGCCGCGCUCCGGGCCGCGCACACGCGGAAAGCGCGCGGCGCUCGCGCUACGGCGGCCACGCCCACGCCCCGCCCCCGCGCCGCUCCCCGCACUCUGAUUGGCCGUUCCGGCUGUCAGUCAGCGGCCGGGCCCAUCUCGCGCUCCCCAUUCAUGCAGUUUGGUUGCGUGACGGUCGGAACAGUUUUUCGCCGCUUCCAUUUAUUUUUCGAUAUCUUAUCUCUAUUAGGUUUUGCAAUCAACUAUUAAGGUGCAACUAUGCCCAAAAGAAAGGCUCCAGCUGAAGGCGAGGCAAAGGAGGAG
rnacentral:lncRNA from 1 species